rnacentral:lncRNA from 1 species
UGAGUUUUCUAAGAGUGUCUCAUAUCUAAAACUCCUUCUCCUACUUUUCAUCUUUAGAAGAGUCCAAAUCAAGAAGAACGAGAUAUCUGAUCGACCAUCGAAGAAGGAUCAGCACAGUACUAGCAUACUGUGCUGAUUACCUGGGCUAGGACUUCUGAUCGUGAUUCAUGGGCUUGUGUGGAUGACUCCUAGAAGUUGGAUGCAUGUGUGGCUCAC